CCUUUAACACAGAAAUGAAAGAGCUAGGAACAAACCUAAGCAGAAUGGAUUCAUGUUGGACGUUAUGAAUUGGAUAAAAGAUUUAAGGAUCGGAAUGAGAACUUCUGAGCUCCUAACAUGUUGGACCCAAAUCAAGUGUCCCUCACCACCCAAAACCCUUUCCAUCUUGGAGAAAAUGCAACUUAUCCACAAGAGUCAGGAUUUGGCAUAGGUAGCUCGUU